UUUCACACAGGAAGAAAAUUAUAAAUUAAAAAAUAAGUUUCGUGCGUUUCGUUUUCUACUACAGCUCUGGAACACACAUUGCUCGAACGAAACUUCCUUUUCCGGAAAAGACGCUGGCGAAUUAGGUUUGCUGGUGCCAAUCGUCAACAAUGCCGAAACAGAUUCAAGAAAUCAAAGAUUUUCUUCUUACGGCAAGAAGAAAAGAUGCCAAAUGUAAG